CGGACGGGUGAGUAACGCGUGGGUAACCUGCCUCAUACGGGGGGAUAACAGUUAGAAAUGACUGCUAAUACCGCAUAAGCGCACAGUGUCGCAUGAUACAGUGUGAAAAACUCCGGUGGUACAGGAUGGACCCGCGUCUGAUUAGCUGGUUGGCGGGGUAACGGCCCACCAAGGCGACGAUCAGUAGCCGGCCUGAGAGGGUGAACGGCCACAUUGGGACUGAGACACGGCCCAAACUCCUACGGAAGGCAGCAG
rnacentral:rRNA from 1 species